rnacentral:rRNA from 1 species
UACGUAGGGGGCAAGCGUUGUCCGGAAUCAUUGGGCGUAAAGCGCGCGUAGGCGGUCCGGUAAGUCCGCUGUGAAAGUCGGGGGCUCAACCCUCGAAUGCCGGUGGAUACUGUCGGGCUAGAGUGCGGAAGAGGCGAGUGGAAUUCCUGGUGUAGCGGUGAAAUGCGCAGAUAUCAGGAAGAACACCCGUGGCUAAGGCGGCUCUCUAGUACGUGACUGACGCUGAGACGCGAAAGCGUGGGGAGCGAACAGG